GACGAACGCUGGCGGCGUGCUUAACACAUGCAAGUCGAACGGAAAGGCCCUGCUUUUGUGGGGUGCUCGAGUGGCGAACGGGUGAGUAACACGUGAGUAACCUGCCCUUGACUUUGGGAUAACUUCAGGAAACUGGGGCUAAUACCGGAUAGGAGCUCCUGCUGCAUGGGGGGGGUUGGAAAGUUUCGGCGGUUGGGGCUGGACUCGCGGCUUAUCAGCUUGUUGGUGGGGUAGUUGCUUACCAAGGCUUUGACGGGUAGCCGGCCUGGGAGGGUGAACGGCCACAUUGGGACUGAGAGACGGCCCAGACGCCUACGGGAGGCAGCAGUGGGGAAUAUUGCACAAUGGGCGGACGCCUGAUGCAGCAACGCCGGGUGCGGGAUGACGGCCUUCGGGUUGUAAACCGCUUUCGCCUGUGACGAAGCGUUAGUGACGGUAAUGGGUAAAGAAGCACCGGCUAACUACGUG
rnacentral:rRNA from 1 species